rnacentral:misc_RNA from 1 species
CAACCCUCAGGCCCGGCCUGGCGUUGGGGUCCUGCGUCGCAGGCCCCUAAAGACAGCGGCGGUUGCGGCCCGGAGCCGAGCGCAGUAGCAUACUAUUCGCUCCGGUACCGGGUGGCAGUCCGGCCGUAAAACAAACCACUAUGCACU